UUGUAGUAAGUUAUUCCGUCGACAUUAUUUUUUCCGUACUAUUCCGUCGACUAUUCUGAGUAUUUGAUAUAAUCAAUCAAACGAUUAGUUACAAAACAACUACUCCCAAACUAACAAGAAGUGUGUAACUUUGUUUGAAAUACAAGUCUAAGAAGGUUCAGCCAGAAUGCGUGUAUUUAGUGGAUUAUUCUCUUUGCGGGCGUUUAUGAAUUCCUACGUCGUUUAAGGUGGAUUGCAGGGUUUCUUGCAAGUAUGAAUCUAAGUGCUGCCACUACUUGAUGUUUACCAAAGACUAUCCUAAUUAUCGAUUUGGUCGUAUUCUCUUUAAUGAGUUGGUUGAAUGUUAAAUAAAUUUCGAUUUUUGCAUUGUCAUUUGUGUUCAUAGUUCCAACUAACAUUACACCAUGAAAACUGACAGUCUUCAUAAAGAUACGAUGCUCUAUUGAUUAUUUGCCGCAAAACGGAAGUUUCUAAUUUCUAAAAAUCGUCAUUUAUAGAUGAACAACGCAGAGAAAAUUACAGUUUAUCUUCUACUAAAGUAUUUAGGGAAAGGUCUACACCUGCACCAACGAUUUGUUGCAAAAUCUUUUUUUUCAUCCUUCACGGGAUACUACGUUAGUAGUUACUCGGACAAUUUCACCAUAACCAGCAUGGCUAAAGAUUCUUUCACUCUUUAGCAUCCUUCCGUUAAUGUAAAAUGCAGCUAUGCAUGUGCAAUAUACACACGGUACUGUUGCUGCAUUUUCUGAACUGCAACUAUCAAGUUCAGUUCAGGAGAAGAAUUAACAAAAAUUUGGUCUAAUUUAGUUUGUCUUCGGUGAUACAAUGUUUGCAGUUUAAAGGACUACUUUUUAAUUGCAUCAAAUUGUUUGAUUCCGGAAAUCAGCGAAUCUGGAAAGAACAACUUUUUCUCCAUGUUUUGCAUUGGUAUAUUGGAAAAAAACGUAUGAUUUUGUUGUCUUUUCAUAUCCUUCAUACUUUAAUGUUUCUCAGUUUUCCACACAAAAUAUUAUGUAGAAAUUAGAAUUGAAUGCAGAAUUUCUCAUAGCUUUUACUAUGAUGGAAAUCGUCGACGAUGAAUUUACUUUUAUAACAAUGUAAUAUGCUUUCUCAAAGAAUUCAUUAUCUGACGCAACAUUGCAUUCUUUCUGCAUUCUGUAUUUUAAAUUUAUUCAAAUGAAAAUGAAUCCAUUUGGCACUUGAACUUUCUCGUAACCUAUUCUAAUUAGGUAUUACGACGGUAUUAUUCAAUAGCAAAAAAGUCCGUCGUGAUAAGAUAGAUAUUUUUUAAUUGAAAAUAUUAAGUUUACAUCUUACUCAGCGUAUGUAACAUUUUUUUCUGAAAGUUUGUAUAUUGUAUAUGACAUUCUGCUAAGUAACAGUAAAAUCAAGUUGUAAGUAGAAAAAGAUGGAAAGGGCAGGUUUCUUCAUUUUAAUUCAUCAUUUUCAUUUCUGGUUUAUGUCAUAAGAUAUCAUAUCGGCAUAUUAAAUUACGAAUUCUUAUGAGAAUGGCGCAGCCCGUCAACAAUGAAAGAAUAUUAUCUAAUGAAAAAUUUCACGUUUGAUCGGAAUAUGUAAAAUAUUUUAUAAUGGAAAGUCAGUAGGAGUUAUGAGUAAGAUUAAAAAUAUUAUAUAAUGUGCUAAUAAACAGUAAGAGUAAAUGAAAUAAUGAAUUCUGAAAAUAGAUAAUAUAAGAGCGAAACUUGGCGACUAUUAGUUUAUUUCAUUAAAUAAAAUAAAUCGUAUGAACAAGCAUUUUUGAAGCUUUGUCUUUAACACAAAUUUUAAUCGGUGAUAUGGUCCUUGCGAUUAAAAAAAUUAUCUUUUAAUCUCUCCGCAUUUUUGUAUCUCGGAAAAUAAGCAAUUAAUCCAGAAAUAGCAUCUUCUUCGCUAGAUUCUGGAUUCACAUUUCUGAAAAAUAUAUACGAUUCGUUUUCUUAUUUGUACUUAUUCAUGAUCUCUUCUUUUUUCUCAUUUCUUUGCGCGAUAUAAUUAUAGAAAUUUGAACUGAAACCAAACUAAUCCUACUUCUUCAUAAUUAUUAAAAGCGUUAGCGAUACAUCUAUUUUUUAUAGCAAGGAUAUAUAUCAGUGGACAAUAUUCGUUAUAGCACAACCUAUCGUGUAUAGAUAAGACUAUGCUAGAUCAUUCUAAUGGAUGUGAAUACAUAUCACACUAAACGUUGAACUGCUUGUACUUAUAUUAAAGUUACGUAAUGAAUUAACACAAUUCAAUGACAAAGAAGUCAAGUUAAAUAAUACGAUAGAUAUUGCGUAAUCCUUCAUUAUAAAUUUCUUCAUUAUAAAUUCUUACAUGUAUAUUGUACAAUAUGUAUACACCGUUUUAUCUAGAAACUUUCGCAUCAUAAAUUAUAUCCGAGUCAUUGUUACAGAAAGUAAGUGUGAAUUUCUUUUGCACAAAAAAUUGUUUUUAACAUUUCAUAAAUUUGUGUAUGUUUCUAAGGAAGUAGCAGUGAUUAGUAAAAUAUCAAAUGCAAAAAAUGUGU